CGACAAAUGAACUUGCUCCCGUCCCCUGAGCACAGGUGUGAUGAGCAUUAAGGAACCUCAGGAGCACACGCUCUUGGCAGGGAGGGGGAGAGAAGCUGACCUGGGUGGUAACUGGGCUUCCCAGGGAAGGAGGGCAAGGAGCAAUUAAUGAUAUUUCUGUCUCAUGGUGAAGAAAACAUGGACUAGAAAGCCACCCAGUGGGCAUGGAAUGGAUCAGGACUGGCUGCAGGACCAAGGACCACCACAAGCCGAGGAUCAGCUCCUAUUGGGAGGUAUCAGCGUGGUGACGGCGAUGGCCUUGCUCAGACCCAAUGCACCGAGGAUGACUUCUAACACUGAUUAUGGCCUUUUUGCUGCCAAAUGAACCAGAAAAUCCCUCCCAGGGGCAGAGUUGUGCCACAGCCUCCCUUCUCCAAGGACAUGGGAUGUUAACAGAAACGUGGUGUGACCGGCAGAGCUCAGCACUGAGAUGGAAGGACUUGGUGAUGUCUUCAGAUGCACAAGUGGGGACAGCAGGUGGGAGCUUUCUAAGCCAGACAAAGGAGACCUGACAAGAAACUGUGGUGAAGGGACAAGCCCAAGGCAAAGGAAUGUCUGAUCACCUCCUCCCCUGGAGCAGGCAGCUGAGAUCUGCAUAGACAGGAGACAUUUUGCAAGACUCAACACCUGGAGCAGUGCUAACCAGGCAAGGACGGGGCUCUGUUGUAUCAGGAUGUUGAUCUCUCUCUCUCUUUCUCUCUCUUUCUCUGUUUGUGCAUUUGUGUAGUUUUGUUGCAUUUGGUGAGGCAAAUGAGCAACUGGUAAGUGGGGCAGGAAGGAGCAGCAGCAGCUGUUGAAGAUCAGCGUUGCUUUUUUUCUUUAAAUGUCAAAGAAAGGAGAAGCGCUUUAGAGAGCUUUUGGGGGGCUGGGGUUAUUUGCUGUUUGGCAUAUGGAGCUCUUUAACACAGCUGUGUUCUUGGGAGGGAGAGGUCUCAGCUGUCCAUUUACUCCAGUUUGCUUGGGCUCUCUGUACCCUGCCUGGGUCUGCAGAGGGCUGAGGUGCAUCUGCCUGCUGCAGAGCAUCCAGCCCUGUGGGAGAGGGAGCGAGUUACCGUAGGAUUCACUGUGCAUGGGUGCUUCCUUCCUUAUAAAAAUAAACCCUACAAUGUGUCUGGGUCA
rnacentral:lncRNA from 1 species